ensembl:snRNA U6 U6 spliceosomal RNA
GUGCUCACAUCAGCAGCACAUAUACUAAAAUUGGAAUGAUAAAGAGAAAUGUCCCCUGCACAAAUUUAUGAAAUGUUCAAUAUUUUU